rnacentral:lncRNA from 1 species
GUCGAGGAUGAAGACCGGCUCCCGUAGGAGUCCGGACGAAGCUUACCAGCAGUCGAGGUCGAGGACGGGGCCCGGCUCCCGUGGGAGUCCGGGCGAAGCCUUCCAGCAGUUGAGGUUGGGGACGAAGUCCGGCUCCCGUAGGAGUCCAGACGAAGUUCACCUGUAAGCGAAGUCGUGGGUGGAGCCCGGCUCCCGUAGGAGUCCGGGCGAAGCCUUCCCGCAGUCGAGGUCGGGGACGAGAUCUGGCUCCCGUAGGAGUCCGGACGAAGUCUACC